CCUAAGCAUGACAACACACGCCGACAAUAUUACUUCCAAAAUGCCUCAGCUAUGUGAGAUUGAUCGCAUAACCCAAUACACGAGGCAACCCUCGGAUCGAAUUGUCGAUUAUAUCUCUACCUAUUCAUAAGUUCACUCAGCCCGGGUAUAGGACUUUUGAUAUUCUCACCCCACACGUCAAAUGAAGAUAAACAAGUAUUCACAUAUGUAAGCAAU
rnacentral:lncRNA from 1 species